GACGAACGCUGGCGGCGUGCCUAAUACAUGCAAGUCGAACGAGAGCGACCGGUGCUUGCACUGGUCAAUCUAGUGGCGAACGGGUGAGUAACACGUGGGUAACCUGCCCAUCAGAGGGGGAUAACAUCCGGAAACGGAUGCUAAAACCGCAUAGGUCUUCGAGCCGCAUGGCUUGAAGAGGAAAAGAGGCGCAAGCUUCUGCUGAUGGAUGGACCCGCGGUGCAUUAGCUAGUUGGUGAGGUAACGGCUCACCAAGGCCGUGAUGCAUAGCCGACCUGAGAGGGUGAUCGGCCACAUUGGGACUGAGACACGGCCCAAACUCCUACGGGAGGCAGCAGUAGGGAAUCUUCCGCAAUGGACGCAAGUCUGACGGAGCAACGCCGCGUGAGUGAAGAAGGUUUUCGGAUCGUAAAACUCUGUUGUUAGAGAAGAACAAGUGCUAGAGUAACUGUUAGCGACUUGACGGUAUCUAACCAGAAAGCCACGGCUAACUACGUG
rnacentral:rRNA from 1 species